rnacentral:rRNA from 1 species
UACGUAGGUGGCAAGCGUUGUCCGGAAUUACUGGGUGUAAAGCGCUUGUAGGCGGCUUGUUAAGUUCCGUGUGAAAUCCCCAGGCUUAACCUGGGAAGUGCGCGGAAAACUGGCGAGCUUGAAUGCCGGAGAGGGUCGCGGAAUUCCCGGUGUAGAGGUGAAAUUCGUAGAGUAUCGGGAGGAACACCAGUGGCGAAGGCGGACGACCUGG